rnacentral:rRNA from 1 species
AUGUGGUUCCACCUCAAGUCUGGGCACCUGUACAUAGCCGAUGCCUACAAGGGGCUCAUGAGGGUCACGCCAGGCGGUGGGGAGGAUACAGUGCUGGUCAUCGAAGUUGAUGGCGUACCUCUUCGCUUCACCAAUGGGGUGGACAUCGACCAGGUAACCGGCGAGGUCUACUUCAUGGACCGCUCCAGGAACUACAAUAGAGACUCGACGGGUCGGCUAUUGAGGUAUGAGCCAUGAACAAGAAAGGUUGUCGUGCUCUAGGCUGACAUCACUUACCCCAAUGGCCUCGCCAUCAGCGCUGCUCGAACACAUCUAAUCGUCUCAUCAACCGGGCCAUGUAAGCUGCUAUGAUACUGGAUCAAGGGCUCCAAGGAGAGCUCGAUGGAGCUAUUCGCCAACCUCCCUGGCUAUCCAGACAAUGUGAGGCCCGACAAUGAAGGAGGAUACUUGGUGGCACUACAUCGUGAAAAGGCUGAGCUCCCCUUUGGCGUUGAUAGCCACCUGCUAGCAUUGAGGAUCGAUGCCGACGGAGAAAUAAUCGAGGAGAUGCAGGGACCGAAGGGCAUGAGGCCGACCGAGGUGGUGGAGAGGAAAGGCGACAGAUUGUUCAUGGGAUCCGUCGAGCUUCAUUAUGUGUCCGUCGUCACGCGCAAAUAG